UAUAAUUUAUCCAGCCUUUAAGUUAAUAUAUUUGAAAUAGUGUAUAUAGAAUUUGGAUGAGAUUCUCAGCAAUUAGCCAUUUUCUAUUUAGUCCCUUUUGGUAGGUGAGUCUUGAAUUGUGACACUACAAGGCAUAAAAGGGUAUGCAUAAAGCUUUAGCUCCCAAUAAUCUACAUAAAGAAACAAUUAUUCAUUAAAAAACUUACAUAUUUUCCAUGCAAACAAAAAUAAAUUUAAGAGGAAAAAAAAAAAAAAGAAAACUCUGCCAGGAGACAGACCCAAGAAACAAAGGUACAUUCGAUAGUGACACUCCCACCCAUGACUGCCCCCACCAAGACCCACUUUUCCUUUUCCAUUUUUAAUUAUGUUGAUUAUCAUUUUAAUUUAAUUAAUAAUUUGCUAAUUAAACUUAAAUUUAGGGUUCUAUCUCUCUCUCUCUACCUUUUUCAUUCUUUUGUACAUGCAUGGCCACUAAUCACUUUUUCUUGAUGGAUACUGUAAAACAGUAUAAAAAGAAGCUUACAGGCUAAGAAAUUAAAAACAAAAAAAGGUUUCGUUUCAUUCCUUCAAAGUUCAAACCCUAAAAAUUUAAUAAAACAAAAAGAGGGAAAGAGAAAGGGAAACAAAAACAGAGAGAAAGACUUGAAGAGAGGAGAGACCAAAGAAACAAAAUAAAUGAACACAAUACAGACUCCCCUUUAUCUUUCCAUGAUCUCCACUACUUCUUUCUCUGCAACUCUCUUCUUGAUGUGAUUCUCCACCAUAUAUCUCUCAAAGAAAAUAAAACUAAAAAAAGAAAGAAAAGAAAGAAAAGAAAGAAAACCUCAUUAACCUUUACAAAAGAAAAGAUAUAGAGGAUUAAAGCCCAAGCACACACCAUGGUUUUCUCAUCCAUUAAUCCAGUCUAUCUAGAUCCACCCAACUGGCAUCAGCAAUCUAAUCAACAACCCGGAGGAGCUGGCGGUGAAAGCCAUCAACUUCCACCACCUCCACCGCCACCAGGUGGCGGCGGCGGUGUUGGUGGUGGUGGUAGUGGUGGAAGCACAGGCUCAAUCAGGCCUGGUUCGAUGGCAGAAAGAGCUAGAAUGGCUAAAGUACCACAGCCAGAAACAGCACUAAAAUGUCCAAGAUGUGAAUCAACAAAUACAAAAUUUUGUUACUUCAAUAAUUAUAGUCUUACUCAGCCUAGACACUUUUGCAAGACUUGCAGGAGAUACUGGACUAGAGGUGGUGCACUAAGGAACGUGCCGGUUGGUGGUGGAUGUAGAAGAAAUAAAAGAAGUAAAGGAAGUAAUAGAUCGAAAUCUCCAUCUAAAGCUGGUUCUAGCUCAAGCAGUGGGCUUGUUUCUAAUAGCUGCAUUAAUGAUAUUAUAGGGCACAUGCCGCCACCACCUCCUCACUUGCCAAUCUUGCCUCCUUUGCAUCAUCUUACUGACUUCAAUUCCACAGAUAUUGGGUUAAAUUUUAGCGGAAUACAGCAUCAGGUGGUAGCCCCAGCCGGUGGUGGUGCUGGUAUGGAGUUUCAGAUUGGCAGUACUAGCUCAGGUGGUGGUGGUGGUGUUGGGUCUAUUUUAUCUAGUGGACUUGUUGAUCAAUGGAGAUUACAACAAGCACAACAGUUCCCUUUCUUGCCAAAUUUAGAGCCUGGAUUGUAUCAUUUUGAAGGUGAAGGUGCUGGGCCUCCAAAUUAUGUUGGUCAGCUUAGGUCUAAGCCAUUGGAGACUGGGGUUACUCAGAGAGCAUCAGUAAAAAUGGAAGAAAACAAUCAUCAUCACCAAGGGUUGAAUUUGUCAAAGAAUUUUUUUUCAGGAAAUGAUCAAUUUUGGGGUGGUAAUAACAAUGCAUGGACUGAUAUUCCUGGUUUCAAUUCCUCUUCUACAAGCCAUCUCUUGUGAUCUUAUAUCAUCUAGGCCAUCAAUUAAUUUGUGAUCUUGAUGCCCUUCUAUAUGUUCUCUUCAAAACUCCAUCCAGUCUUGGUAUUUUUGAUCCAAUGAAUUAAUACAGGUUCUUCUAUGAGAAAAGCGAUCAACUGAUUAUCAAAGACAAAAUAUUUUUCAAGUCUCAGCCGAUGGAUCGACCACCCUAACUUUGUAAGUUCCAAAUCCAAGAGUCUAAUUAAGAUGGUGAAAUAAAUGAGAAGGAUGGAUCCAAGGAAGUUGCAUGUCUCUCCAUGAUCUCUACUGAAAGUAAUUAGAAAAAUGGAAUAAAGCUAUCCCUAAACUGUCCAUCAAAGAAGAAAAGAAAAAGGCAUACACAGUACUACUCUCUCUCUCUCUCUCUCUUUCCAUGUGGAUGUAAGAGUGAAGCAGCCACUGAGGAUAUGGUUUUUCCUGGUCGGUUGGUUACUUGUGAGGUACAAGAUUGGAUAGGUGAUCUCAAAUUUGUUUGAUAGAAAAGAAAAAAAGAAGAGUAUCAAAGGUAUAAAAAAUGAAAAUUAAAAAGAAGAAGAAGAAGAAGAAGAAGAAGAUUUGAAGAAGAGAGUGCUCGGAAAUCCAAGCAAGGAAAUGGGGUAUUAUUGAUAUAAUGUUGUUGAUGCCCACAUGUAAUAGAAUAGGCGUGAGUAUGUUCUCUCUGUUUCCAUGGCAGCUUUCGCUUUUGAGAGGUCAUAUUGUUGUUAUUGCUUCUCUUUUCUUUUCUUUUCUUUCCCUUAUCUUUUAUUUUCCCUUUCUUUCUUUUAUUCCUUUGAGUAUGAGAUUCCAAUCUAUGCUCUCUCUCUCUCUCUCUCUCUCUCUCUCUCUCUCUCUCUCUCGUUGUUUCUUCUUUCCUAUUUUUACAGUACUACUCACGUUCUUCCACAUGUGCUCAAUCAUGUAUUGGUGUUUAGAUUCUUGGUCAUUUCUAGAUACCUGUUUGGGAAAUUUUACAUUUCUUUUCAAAUAAAAACAAGAGUAAAAAAGAUAAUAAAAAAUCUAUAUUCUUUGUUCUUCCA